UCAUUCCCAUCGCAGACUAGAUUUUCUGCAUUCAGUAAUUUUUCAUAUAUUUUAGAACGUGAAGGUAGUUUUCGAAUAAAACAAGCUUUGAUAUUUAGUUAUUUACUAAUAAAUGGGUGGCUGAACCUGUAUAAUAACAGAGUGUAUACUUACAACAUCUUAUUUUAAUUGCAAUUGUUUGGGAUUUAUACGUCUAGUAACACUAAAUUCGAAGGCGAGUCUACUUAAGUCCAUAGCGGAUUGCUGUCAACGAAAUUUGGAUAUUUUUUGAAAAGAUUUCUAUGUUUUGUGGUAUCUAAAAAGUAGCAAAAUUGGCCAAACCCUUUGCGAAUUUGUGCGGCAUCGGGAAGUCGUACCACCGAAUAAUACACCAGAGGAAGGCACCAUCAACAAAGAUGGUGCUGUCUGUCCUGUUGCGCAGUCGCAAAGGGCAACCAUUUCGAUAAACAAACAUGUUUUAUAUGCUUAUCGUUCAUUGGGCUUGUAAAAUUAAGUGGAAUCAUAAAAAAUAUCACCUCGACACGAUUACAAAAUCGAGAUAAUCAUUGUGUGCGUAAUGCUACGACGGCUAUAUCUAGAUCAUCAAAAACCGCAGUACCAUCAACAAGAAAACUUGCGGGCUGACAGGUGUUUUACGACUGAAAGCGGUUCUAGUGUUAGUAAGAACGUCGAUAUCCGAAAAUCAAUCAAAAAAACGCCAUUGUUAACAUCACAAUACAUAGCGAAUUCUCAAUUGAAAGCUUCUUUAAAAAAGGAACGUGGCUACCCAUUCUGCAGUGAAAUCUCUGAAAAUGUAGACAAUACAAAUCAGUAUUCAGCGCAAUAUUCAUACCAUUACCAUUGUUACGGUCACCAACAGCAACAUCUAAUACAGAAUUCAGAGACUGUUUCUAUAAAACCAUCAAGUACUUCGUCAUCACACUUUUUACAUCGCUGGAGGAAAACACAUAAACCUAUUCUGCGCUUAGAAAAUAAACAGAAUAUUUUAAAUAGGGUUCUACAGGAUUUUUUAGGCAGCUCAUUAAAUACAAAUAAUGAACAAAUUCAAAUCCGUAAUUCUAGUAAAUCAAGCAGUAUUGGGUACAGAAAGAACAUAACCGGCAGCAAAAGAGCAGUUACCGGAUGCGGCGGCACUGACACCGAAGCUCAUAUAGCCAAGCAAUUUGACAGACAAUCGAAAAUUUCAAUUCCACAAAGUCCAAAUCGUCUGGCUUCAACAGUGCAAUCGAGUUAUUUAAAUGGUGCUUUUUUGAGUGCUACUUCUAAACAAAAUUCUAAUACAUCACCAAGCUCUACGCCAUUGUUACCAUCGGCAUCUAUCUCAAUCAUAGGAAGCUCAACACGUAAAACUUGCUCUGGCCGGACUGAACAAUUUGUUGGUAUUUCAGAUCAUUUGCCAAUCGAUCUUAUAAAAACAAAAUCGCCAUCUACUAAUUUUGCCUAUUCUAAUUUCAACCAAAGAGGUAAAGAGUUUGACAACAUAUAUAACAAAGGAACAGAUUACACUACUGAUAUUAAAAACCUAGCAGAGGUCGUUAUGGAUGUUACAAAGAAAACAAAUGAGACUUUAUCAGCUUCCGCUAUUCGUCGCGUAGGCACCAUUUCAUAUGAAGAUAGUAAAGAAAAAUCGACAAAAAUCACUCAAAAAUUGGAAGUGAAUGUAGACGGGUCGGAGAGAAAUUCUUCGUCGGGUAUUUUGAUGUCAUCUUCAGACACCGUUCUUAUUACGCCACCAAUUUGUACAGCGGUUCAAAAGUUUUAUCCAAUGCGUUUCAUCAGAAAAAAUGUCGAGCAGUCUGCUAAAAAUAUCAAUGCCAAUUAUCUGGAGUUUGAAACGGAAUUUCCGCGUGACUAUGAUGAUAAUAUUGAGAUGCUUUCACGUGAAGCUGAACAUUUGGAGAAACAGUUUCGAACUCCUAGCCGACCUAGCAACUCAGAUGUUAAAAUAUCUACGCCAACUAGUUUAGGUGAAAUAAUCCCUGCUGAGCCGCAAAUCUUUAAGGUAAAUACUAUUGUAACAACGGCUACCGGAAAGCGUGUUGGUUUCAAAGUUGAAGAAAAAAUUGAGGAACAUAUUGCUGAGAGUAGUAUAAUUCAAAAGGCUACUUUGAAGAGCGCGGGACGCGCUAGCUUUGAAGAUGUAGUACCAGUCCCCGUUACAACAUCUACAGCAGUCGAAGUGAUACCUGCAAGUUCAUCCAAAACUACAACUCAUACUCAAUCAACAGUCACAACUACAAAAAGUACGCAUAAGGAUGAUGAUGAUGAACCGGUAGCUAUGUCACCUUGCGGACGAUUUUUUAAAUACGACAAGGAAGUGGGUCGUGGUUCGUUUAAAACUGUUUACCGUGGAUUGGAUACUGAAACUGGAGUAGCGGUUGCAUGGUGUGAACUAUUGGAUAAACAAGUCAAAAAGAGCGAACGCAUGCGGUUCCGUGAGGAGGCAGACAUGCUAAAGAAAUUGCAACAUCCAAAUAUAGUACGCUUUUACACUUACUGGGAAAAUUCAGUUUCUCGAAAAAAGAACAUUGUUCUAGUCACAGAAUUAAUGCUAUCAGGAACGUUAAAAUCAUAUCUUAAACGUUUUAAGAAGAUAAACCCAAAAGUACUAAAGUCUUGGUGCAGACAAAUUCUAAAGGGGCUGCAUUUUCUUCAUACCCGCCCGUUGCCCAUUAUUCAUCGUGAUCUAAAAUGUGAUAAUAUAUUUAUAACUGGCACAACUGGGAGUGUAAAAAUAGGAGACUUGGGACUAGCAACUUUGAAAAAUCGGUCUCAUGCGAAAUCAGUGAUUGGAACCCCUGAAUUCAUGGCCCCUGAAAUGUACGAAGAACACUAUGACGAGUCAGUAGAUGUUUACGCUUUCGGUAUGUGCAUGUUGGAAAUGGCUGUGUCGGAGUAUCCAUACAGCGAGUGUAAGGGUCCUGCGCAGAUUUAUAAGAAAGUAAUUUCGGGUAUAAAACCUGCAGCACUGGCAAAAGUGGAAGAUCCUAAAGUCCGUGAGAUAAUUGAGAAAUGCAUUGAGCUUAAAAAGGAGUGCAGGCCAAGUUGUAAGGACCUUCUUGACUCCGAGUUUUUUGAAGAAGACAUCGGUAUACGGGUCGAGCCAACCGCCACUGAGACGUUCUUAAGUAAUCCUGAAAAUAACAUUAUAGAGUUUCGACUUCGCUUUCUCGAUCCUAAAAAACGAUCGUCCAAACAUAAAGAAGACGAAGCUAUUCAAUUCGAAUAUGAUAUAAAAAAAGACGAUUGUGACCAAUUAUGUCAGGACAUGACCAAAGAAAAUAUUAUUACUGAGGAAGACUCGCGAGCUGUUGUCCGAAUGUUAAAAUUACAAGUUUUUUCGUUGAUGAAGGAAAGAAUGCAACGACAAAGUCAGUUACAGUUGCAAAAUGAGAAAUCGAGGUUGGAAAAAUUAGCACUGCAAAAUCAAAGAGAAAUGUUGCCGCCUAAUGUUGAAGAAGAGGAAGACGAAGAUGAAGAAGGAGAAUCAGAAGAAGAAGAUGAAAAUUGUAAAUGGAAUCAACAGCUCAAGUCUAAAACCGACGCAUUGACUGAGGGAGAUUCAAUUGUUUUUGGGGAUGGAAUCAGGAAAACUGAUCACGAAAACUCUAUUGACAACUCUACUACUGCUGAUGCGUCCUCACUUGCAUUCCAGCAACCGCAAACCACGUCGGGGCAGACAGUAGAACAACGCUCAGUUUUGCAGCAAAGCUAUUACCAACAACAGAAUUCACAAAUUUUGCCAACUCAAGCAUUGGGUUCCUCCGGAACUAGACAAACCGCGGUUCAUAUCAUUCAGCAACCUCAAAUGCAAUCUUUUAAAAUUUCGCAGACAACACCUGUACAAGAUAUCGCAACUUUACAAGUUGUAUCACCAACCGCACAAGCUAAUUUUCCCUUAAAUAACUCAGGACAAAACCUUAUAAAUCAAAAAGUAACUAUUUCUAUACCACUCGCAGUUACACCAUCAGUAUCGGUUUCGAAUUCUGGGUCGGUUCCUGCCCCACAAUCACAAAAUAUUCAGCACCUGGUACAGAAACAGCAUAUAACGCAACAAUUAAUAAAACAGCAACAGUUGGUACAACAGAAACAGCAAACAAACCAACAACAGCAAGUGGUUCAACCCAUUACACAAUACCAACAAACGUGUCAAAAAGUUAACCAUCAGACUAUAAUGCAGCAACAGACAGCUCAAAUCGAGCAGCACAUUAACCAGCAACAACAAAGGUCCCAGCAGUUACCCCAGCAAAAUUUGCUUAUACCGCAACAAGUUGCACUUCAACACCAGGCAACUCAUCAAUCACAAGCUAUGCAACAGCAGAGGCUUAAUCAGCAGCAAAUUAAUAAUACUCAACAGUUAUCUCUGCCUCAGGGUACUUAUCAGCAGCAAGCAACUAAGCAGCAGCAAGUAAUUCAGCAACAGAAAAUACCGCCGCAGAGGAUGGUGCAUCAAACUCCAAACCAAUUGGAGCAGCAACAAAUUUCUCAACCGUUUGUUACUCAAACGACAGUCCCUCAACAACAGCAACUACAAAUGCAUACUCAGCAACUAUCUCAAUUUCAACAAGUACAAUCUCCUACAGCGCAGCAAAAGCCAAUGUCUUCCUCGACUGCUCAAACUUCCCCGACCUUUGCUCCAAUGCAGCAUGUUCCUAAUGAUGUUGUUUUUAAUCUUGCUACGGGUAGUCCCCAAUAUACUGACCCACCUGCAAACAAUAAUACUCAAUUACUUACUGAAGAAAAGCAAGGAACUCGGUUUCAAAAGACUAGACGAUCGAACCGAAUUGGUAAUGAGCGUGCUCCAAAAUUAAGCGUUACUGGAAUAGAUCAUGGUACUGUAAUUAACUGUCAUAUGGAGAAUAAACCGAAAACAAUAACUUUCAAAUUCGAUAUACGUGACGUGAAUCCCACCGAAGUUGCUAACAAACUGAUUGCUCAAGAUCUUUUAUCCCUAAACCAAUCCGUUGCAUUUGUGGAAAUGAUUAAUGAUAUAAUACAGCAAGUUAAAUUAAAUCCUAAUCGGAUACCAGUACCAUCGUAUCGUCGUAGUAUUGAAAAGGUCCGUCAUGCGUCAUUAACCCGUCAGCGCCCCGCAUUCAGAACUCAUCAAAGGCAUAGAUCACGCGAUGAAACUUCGAGUGACUUGUCUAAAAUGUUUGAGGUUACCUUGCUGGCUGCCGAGCCACUUUCCUCAAGCCUCGGCGUCGGCUCUGUUAUAAAAAAUAUCUGUGUGCAACCAACUCCUACUCAACCACCAUCUCUUUUUAAUUCAACAAGCGGGGAAAACGAUAUCGGUCAACAACCAUCUCAAGGCUUAACACAUCCUGCUGAGAUAAUAAUAGGAGACGGUAAUCCUUAUAUCUCCUCAACUGCUGCUGCAACGGCAACUUCAAUGUCCUCAUCUACAACAACUACAACAUCAGAAACACCUAACAAUAGCAGUGAGAAUGUCAUUGGAUCUGGAUCAGCUUCUCGAAAGACUAGCACUGCAUCUGAAUACACAUCCCUAUCGUCUGAUUGCACACCCGACAAUACAAUUACAUCGUCUACAUCGGCUUUUGCAAUGGAAAAUCCACCUAAUGAUGUUUAUGACCAAGAAAUUUGUAAUGAAGUGGUGGGCUCUCUACCUCAAGCUGUAGCUGAAAUCGCAUUUCACAAGGCUCAAGAUAAUGUUGAAUUAGCGGAUAUCUCUCAAUUAGAAACGUUUGGAGAUGACAAACAUUCUGAAAUAUCACCUAAUGCUGAACAUUGCGCGGAGAUAGACAAUACAGCUUCACAAGCACCAGAUAAGACUAAAAACAUAGGAGAGAAUGAUGAUGACGUUGAAGAUAAAAACGAUAAGAUGGGGUCGACAAUCGCUGCGCCUGUGACACGAAAAAUAUCGCGAUUCCUUGUCAAUCCAGUAAUCUCAUCAUGUGGAGAUGGCAUAUUGGAAGUAACUACAAUGACACAAGUUCAUCAAAAUGCCUUUAAUGCUGAAGGAGAGGUUGAACUGAGAACAAGAGCUUCAGGACCUCCCACAGAAGCCCAGCGAUAUAAUGUAGGCACGCUUCCCGAUUCUUGUGAUAGCGCGGUAUCGUGUGAGGAUAAUAAUAAUAUUUUGUCGAAUGGUGCGAAUACCGCAAUAAUAACGACGGCAGCACCAUUACAAAUCACAAAUUCCAACACUCAGACGAUAAUAUUAUCAGCCCCUGCGGCAAAUAAUGCAACCAGUAACACUUUGGAACAGUUAAAAAUAGAGUUAGAAAAUAUUACACAUGCUCAUGCUUUUGCUACGUCUGUUGUAGCCUCACUUAAUAACGCUAAUGAACAAAACAAUUUGCAGCCAAUGGCACAACCACCUAUCACAGCGAUAUCAUCACCAGCGCCUUCACAGCAACAACAUCAAGAAGAGGUUAGCAAACCAUCGCAAACAACAUCUGCACAAUCCUUUGGUCAAAGUACACCAACAGGCAUUUUAAAUUCAGCUCGUGGCUCUUCUGUUUACAACUCGCGUCGUACAUCUCUUGACACAAGUGGAGGCUCCGAGUUUCAGCAUCUUACUACAAAUGUAAUUGAAGGAGUUGAAUCAUCGUACCAAGUUCCUGGUGCCCAUGUACGCACCAGCAGUGAUGCUGCUUCGUGCACUUCAGCCCACACCCCUAUUGACAUACACCCGGAAGUUGGCGGCUUAGGUGGAAGUACAUCCAGUGUAAGCGCCGGUACCGGGCAACCUGAGUGCGCUGCAGGUCAUCGCCAAACUGGGGGCCUUACAAAAAAUUCACUAGCUGAUCUGGAGAAAAAAUUAGCCGCUUUACGAAAUGUCGAUUUGGCGGACGAGGCAAGAGGUGUUAUUUCAGCCCAAAAUGCAACUAAUAAAUUUCCAGAGGACCAGCGUAAUGCGAGAAAAAUAUCGCGAUUCAGUGUUAGUAGAGUACAAGAACAAAAGGGUGGAGGCGGAGGUAGCAGUGGAAAUACUACCGAUGUUCCAACGACUCCUCCAAUUUGUGUAGAAUCGCAAAAACUACGUAUCGAUUUACAAGCAAUUGCUCAACAACCUGUCGGUCAAAAUAUAGUUAGUCUCGUAAAUACACCAACCGAAGCUACUCAUACCCCAGGACAAUAUGUUGCUAUCAGUAGUGCAGUUAAUAGUUGCGUAAAUAGCGCCAAUUCGGGGCAACAGCUUCUAUAUCCUCAAUCACUCCAACAACACAAUCUUACGCAAUUACAGCUUAUUCAGCCUACGCAACCUUAUAUGCACCAACAGAUUCCUAAUCAGAUAUUACAACAUCAACAAUACUUGCAGCAGUUACUUCUCCAGAAGCAAACACCUACACCAACAUUGCAACCACCGCUACAUAUUCCUCCUAGCUUCAACCCACUACACCAAAACUUUCAAAUAUUACAACAGCUGAAAACACCUCUUCAGCAACAGCAGCAGCCGUUGCUGGCUAACCAAUCCAUACCUCAAAAACAAUCACCUAUAAUUUUGCAAAAACAACAAAUUUCUCAGCAAAUGGCAAUUCAGAGUCAUGCUCAGAUCCAAACGCAUCCAUCUCAGCUAUCUCAAGUAUCAAAUUGUCAACAUACAACAGUUCAGCUGCCAGGGUUAAAUUCUCAGGCUCAAACUCAACAAGUUCAAAGUAUAGCGCAAGUGCAUCAAGUUAGUAAUCCACAACAACUUCAAAAGACACAAGCUCAAGAUCAGCAGCAUAUUCAAAACAUUCAACAUAUUCAGAACCAGGGGCAAGCUCAGAGCCAGCAGAUAAUUCAGAAUAACCCGCAAAUUCAAAAUCAGCAACAAAUUCAAAAAAAGAUUCAAUGUCAACAGUCAAUUCAUAACCAAGCGCAAGCGGCUUCAAGUCCCCAGCAGCAACAACCUCAAAAUACUGUGCAGCAAGGUGCACUACAGCAUAUUACAUCUCAGGCGUCACAGUCUUCUACAUAUUCUGAUGCUUCGGUACUAAUGCCCAUCUCAACUGAGGAGCCAGUUUCCCUAGCUGCAACUCAUCCGCACUUGCUACCUACUGUAAUACAAUCUGAUAUUAAGCACAACCUAGAUUCAUUGGUGAAUCAGCUGGGAAAUUUGCGGCUUAGAACGAAUCAACAUCAGCGGCUUCUUUUACUAAGACAACGCCAAUUGAUUGAAGAAGAUGAACUACGCCUUAAGCACUAUGUUGAGUACGAAAAAUUCCAAAAGACAUUGCGCCAAUCUGGAGAAACUCAACAUCAGGUAUUGUAUGUUCAACCUACAACUUCACAACAUGCAUUUUCCAGUUUGGGAUCGGGGAACUUUUUGCCUCAGCUGCAUGGCAUAAAACCUAUUACGAGUCUACAAUCCACAUAUGCAAUAGGAAUCAAUCAAACUCAACCGGUUCAGCAGCAAGUUCUUUCACAACUAUCUAUGCAGCAACAACAAACCCAACCACCCCAGCCUAUUCAAAUGGCUCAAUACUCAAAUCAAGCAACUGCCAAUUCAUCAACAACAUGCAGUAGUAAUAGCCAGGAACAACAUGCCCAGCAACACCAAAAUAUACACAAAAUAGUGCCCCAUUUGUUGACCAAUAGUGGAAAUAAUAUGCAAUUCUAACAUCGCAAAACCGCGUACAAAAUGCAUCUACACAAAACAAAAACGUACACUGCCCAAGUAGCAGCUAAGAAAGUAGUAGUAGCGCACCAGAAGUAGCGCUACCUGGAGUACACAUGAAUAAUUUCGCAAGUAGAGCUCCGGCAGAUUCCAAGUUUUCUGCUACUACUUCAACUACAGAGAGUCUUCACCCAUAAAUUUUACAAAAAUUAUACGAAUUGGGACUAUUUUCGUAAAAUUAUGGCACAAAGCCUUAACAUUAAAGUCCCCUUAAGGGGUAACACCACUGUAGAAAUUUCAAAAAAUUGAUUUUUUUUUUAUAAGCUUAAAAAAUUCUUUGAACCUUUUAAAAUACAGAACAAAAAGUUUUAUACGUUACCGAAGUUUAUUUCAUAAAUAUUUUAAGCUUUUAACCAAGCGUUAGUGACUGCUACCUAAAGACUUCUCCAAAUUUCCAAACUUUAAACGCGUUUUUCUCAAAACACGUUUUCUGAAAUUGGCACGCAGCAUAACUCAAACAAUUUUAAAUAUUUUUAAUCAGUUUUUUCACUUCUUACCUUCUUAAGAGAAGAGCGUAGGGGAUUUUUGAUAGAUUAAUUUAAACGAUUGUUAUAAUUAUUUAAGUUCGGUUUUUUUAGUCCAAAAUAGAGUUUUUUCCUUCAAAUGCUUGAAUUCCACAAAAAUAAAUAUUUUUUAAAUCCCCUACGUGUUUCUCUAGCUAUUCUUAUCUAGAUUAAGAAAAAAAAUGUUUCUUUGUUCCAGAUUAAAAUUUGCACCCUCUGUGCUGCGUGCCGCGGAGCUCCUUCAAGAGAAACCACAUUACAAAAAUAUCUCCAAUGCCGCCAUUUUGUAAAAUUUUUCGAUAAAACUUUGUAGUUUUGUAUUUUAGUAUAUAAGUAAUAACUUCCCAAAUCAGAGUGAUUGUUUUCCCUUUCCUUCUAUACAAAAACAUUCUUUAAAAAUCGUGUUUAUUUUACGCGUGUACAGUGGUGUUACCCCUUAAAGAGUAAAAAAAGAAACAGAAUAUGUGUAUGUAUAGAAAUGUAAUAAUAUACUUAAAUGACAGUAUAGUGUAUGCAAUAAUAACUUCAACACCUAUAAUUGAAAUGAGUAACAACAACAUUCGACCGCCGUAGCGGAAUGGGUUGGUGCUUGACUACCAUUCGGAAUUCGGUGUAAGUUGGUUCGAAUAUUCGUCAAACAUCAAAAUUAAGAAAAAGUUUUUUCUAAAACCGGUCGCUCCUCGGCAGACAAUGGCAAACCUCCGAGUGUAUUUCCGCCAUGAAAAGUUCCUCAUAAAAAAAUAUACGCCGUUCGGAGUCGGCUUAAAACUGUAGGUCCUUCCAUUUGUAAAACAACAUCAAGACGCACGCCACAAAUAGGUGGAGGAGCUCGGCCAAACAUCCAAAAAGGUUAUUAGGCUGUAACAAUAAAACAGGUACAUAGAGUAACAAAUAAAAUACUAUCAAAAAUUGAUUAAAGGAAUACCUGAGUUGCUGUGUAUCUUUAUUUAGUGAAAGCUUUUGACGACGUGUAGCACAAGGGACUAUUAUUUAAACUUAAACAGUAUUUUCCAAUGAACUACUAUCUGAUACUGGCAAGCUAUAUAGCAAACAGAUACUUUGACGUAAAAUAUGGAGACAAAUACUCUAAUAUUCAACUCAUGGAAGCCGGGGUAUUUCAAGGCAGUGUACUAGAGCAUGUGUUGAUAUAUCCAUGCCUGCAAGUUCCAACAUGAUAGCAACUUUCGCAGAAGAUACCAUUCUAUUAGCAGCUUAUAAAACCAAACAAGUUAUAGCACAUUUUGGACUAAUCUUGAAAAUGGUUUAAUGCUUGGUAUACAAAUCAAUAGUGACAAAACAAUUUAUGUAGUUUACUCUAACAAGAAAGGGAAUACAUACGAAUCUGACGAUAAACAAAUCACAAAUCCUGAUAGACAUAAAGGUAAGAUAUCAUGUUGAAAAGAAAUGAGGUACAAACCAGAUUCCGACAACUACAUUGGCUAUUUGGCAGGCACUCGAAACCUUAAUAUCAAUACAAUGCAGAAAUCCUCCGUAAACGCAGCACAAAUCAUAUUAUCAGUUUAACGAAUCAUACAACUCCCAUCAACAGAAAGCGCAAACUCCAGGUGGCUCAAACGACCACCAACACCAAUUCAGAUGAUAACUAGAAAAAUUUAAAAUUAUGUUCUUAUACAUACAUUACAAACUCGCACAAUUACUAAACCAAAAUGUAACAUUCAUAAUGAUUAAUAUUAUGAAAUCCAAGUGGAAAAAAAAAUUAUUUAGUGUCAUAAGACAGGUGUAAUUAAUAAAGGAACAAAACAAAGAAGUUUUAGUAGCAUCCCUGUCUUUACGGAAGACGACAGAGAGUCUGGUAUCAAAUAACCCCGCAACAAAAAAAUCAGCUUUUAGUCACGUUUCCGCAAUAAAAAAAAUGUCAUAGUCCAGUUGUGAACUCAAAGACGUGAUAGCUUUAGAUUUAGUUUUUAGACUUAAGACUCUCCACGUGUGUAGUGUGUAUGCCUCGCGCGGCAUACGAAAAGUAGUAAUCGCCCUUAUCGGGAAGUUUGCCCGGAAAACAUUUCGCCCGAAAUGUUUUUGUUCGGGCGAAAUUUUUUCGCCUAUCGGAAUCACUUCGAAUCAGCUGAUAUACUCUAUUGUGAAUUGAUUGCGAACAAAUUAUUUACUUUCUAUUGUGCUAAUUUCGUAAGCAAGCGUAUAUUUCCUUAAAAUAAAGUAAAAAUAUACCUCAAAAUUUUCUAGAAAUAUGUAUAGUAUUGCGCUUAGGUUAUUAUUGAGCGAGCGUGAAGAAAAUUUGAACGUGAAAGUGCUCAGGAGGCGAUUAAGGGACAAUUCCAACCCUUUGGAGCUAAGUGAUUCAAUGUGAGAUAACAAAAAAUGCUAAUGGGAAUUUGCAAUACUAACUUAAUUUCUUAUUUUUUAGGUUUCGGCAAUAUUACAGGCUAAACAAGCCGGCAUUUAAGUACUUGCUAGAUGUCCUUACUAACUCCUUGCCACCAUUGAAGCAGAAAUUCGGAAUUCUAGCUAUUGAGGGCAUGUUUGCGAUUUUUUGCAGAAGGAGGACAUCAAAAAGGCGUUGGGAAGGACCAUGAAGUGGGCCUAGCUCAAUCUUCUUUCAGUGAAGUACUGACAGAAGUGCUGAGUAUUUUCGAGCUACUACUUUGUCCACAAUGGAUAAGUUGGCCCACUUUAGUUGAACAACGCCAAAUAGCACACGAGUUUUUUACAAAAUACGCAAUGCCAGGAGUUAUAGGAUGUGUUGACGGAACACACAUUAACAUAAUAUCCCCUUCAAAAAACAUUCAUCAAUUUUACAACAGAAAAGGCAAAUGCAGUUUGAACGUUAUGCUCGUAUGCGAUAGUAAUCUGAAGAUUUGCAAACCCACAACAUAGUUUGGUUACUAGGAGACGCUGGGUACCCGCUAGAGCCGUGGCUACUUACUCCAUAUAGAACACCAGAAAACAAUUCAGCUCAGGCCAAAUUUAUUGAAGUACACACACGUUGUCGAAAUAUAAUCGAAAGAACAAAUGGUGUUCUAAAAAACCGAUGGAGGUGUCUGUUAAGCGCUAGAGAGUUGUACUAUGCAUUUGUAAAGUAAUAUUUGCAUUCAUUACAAAAGUGAUCUACAUUUUUCUAACCCAUCUGUUAAUGAAGAAUUCAAUGAUUUCCAUGGCAGAUAAUCAACAAAUUGUCGAAGUCAACAGUAACUAUCUGGCAGAAGGUCAGCGCAUCCGUACAGAUAUUGCAAACACUUUUAUUACAUUAAAUAUUUUGGCAGAUAUGAAAAAUUAGCUGUGCCAAUAUUUUAGUUCGCCACUGUAUUUUUAAAAUAAUUAAA